AUGAUGAUGAUGAGGAGGAGGAGGUUCAUGCAGGAAUGGUUUGUAUCACUGUGGUACACGUUUGGUGGAGGAACCAGACUGGAGCUUGGAAGUGAACGCCGUCCCACCCUGACAGUGCUGCCCCCCUCCAGUGAGGAGCUGCAGCAGGGGAAGGCCACCCUCAUGUGUCUGGCCAACAAGGGCUUCCCCUCAGACUGGAGUCUGUCCUGGAAGGUGGACGACAGCAGCAGCAGCAGCAGCAGCAGCUGGGAGCAGAGCAGGAGCCCCGGGGUGCUGCAGAAGGACGGCCUCUACAGCUGGAGCAGCACCCUGAGGCUCCCUGCAGACCAGUGGAGGAAGGUGGGCUCUGUGACCUGUGAGGCCACCCAGGGCUCCCAGACUGCAGUCACACAGACGCUGAGGAGAGACCAGUGUUCCCAGUCCUGACCGCACUCUCUGAGACACUGAUAUUGGCUUUAAUCUGUGACUUCUCUCACUUUUUCUCU